rnacentral:rRNA from 1 species
UACGUAGGGUGCGAGCGUUAAUCGGAAUUACUGGGCGUAAAGCGUGCGCAGGCGGUGAUGUAAGACCGAUGUGAAAUCCCCGGGCUUAACCUGGGAACUGCAUUGGUGACUGCAUCGCUCGAGUAUGGCAGAGGGGGGGUAGAAUUCCACGUGUAGCAGUGAAAUGCGUAGAGAUGUGGAGGAAUACCGAUGGCGAAGGCAGCCCCCUGGGUCAACACUGACGCUCAUGCACGAAAGCGUGGGGAGCAAACAGG